UGGAUCCAGACUUUGAUCCUGGCUCAGGAUGAACGCUAGCUACAGGCUUAACACAUGCAAGUCGAGGGGAAACGAUAUUGGAAGCUUGCUUCCGAUAGGCGUCGACCGGCGCACGGGUGAGUAACGCGUAUCCAACCUGCCCAUCACUUGGGAAUAACCUUGCGAAAGUAAGACUAAUGCCCAAUGACAUUUAUAGAAGGCAUCUGAAAUGAAUUAAAGAUUUAUCGGUGAUGGAUGGGGAUGCGUCUGAUUAGCUUGUUGGCGGGGUAACGGCCCACCAAGGCGACGAUCAGUAGGGGUUCUGAGAGGAAGGUCCCCCACAUUGGAACUGAGACACGGUCCAAACUCCUACGGGAGGCAGCAGUGAGGAAUAUUGGUCAAUGGGCGAGAGCCUGAACCAGCCAAGUAGCGUGCAGGAUGACGGCCCUAUGGGUUGUAAACUGCUUUUAUAGGGGAAUAAAGUGAGCCACGUGUGGUUUUUUGCAUGUACCCUAUGAAUAA
rnacentral:rRNA from 1 species